AGAGGGUGCGAGCGUUAAUCGGAGUUACUGGGCGUAAAGGGUGCGUAGGCGGGACUGUGUGAGAGAUGUGAAAGCCCCGGGCUUAACCUGGGAAGAGCAUCUUUAACUGCAGACCUAGAGUCCAUCAGAGGGUGGCGGAAUUUCCGGUGUAGCGGUGAAAUGCGUAGAGAUCGGAAGGAACGCCGGUGGCGAAGGUGGCCACCUGGGGUGAGACUGACGCUGAGGCACGAGAGCGUGGGGAGCGAACAGGAUUAGAUACCCUGGUAGUCCACGCUGUAAACGAUGAGAACUAGAUGUGUGUGGGGCGACCCAUGCGUAUCGAAGCUAACGCGAUAAGUUCUCCGCCUGGGGAGUACGGCCGCAAGGUUGAA
rnacentral:rRNA from 1 species